rnacentral:rRNA from 1 species
CAGUCGCCACGGGAAUACGUAGGUGGCAAGCGUUGUCCGGAAUUAUUGGGCGUAAAGGGCUCGCAGGCGGUUUCUUAAGUCUGAUGUGAGAGCCCCCGGCUCAACCGGGGAGGGUCAUUGGAAACUGGGAAACUUGAGUGCAGAAGAGGAGAGUGGAAUUCCACGUGUAGCGGUGAAAUGCGUAGAGAUGUGGAGGAACACCAGUGGCGAAGGCGACUCUCUGGUCUGUAACUGACGCUGAGGAGCGAAAGCGUGGGGAGCAAACAGGAUUAGAUACCCGAGUAGUCCCUGUCUCUUAUAC